GACGAACGCUGGCGGCGUGCUUAACACAUGCAAGUCGAACGGAAAGGCCCUGCUUGCAGGGUACUCGAGUGGCGAACGGGUGAGUAACACGUGGGUGAUCUGCCCUGCACUUCGGGAUAAGCUUGGGAAACUGGGUCUAAUACCGGAUAGGAGCCAUCUUUAGUGUGGUGGUUGGAAAGUUUUUUCGGUGUAGGAUGAGCUCGCGGCCUAUCAGCUUGUUUGUGGGGUAAUGGCCUACCAAGGCGGCGACGGGUAGCCGGCCUGAGAGGGUGUACGGCCACAUUGGGACUGAGAUACGGCCCAGACUCCUACGGGAGGCAGCAGUGGGGAAUAUUGCACAAGGGGCGCAAGCCUGAUGCAGCGACGCCGCGGGGGGGAGGAAGGCCUUCGGGUUGUAAACUCCUUUCGCUAGGGACGAAGCUUUUUGUGACGGUACCUAGAUAAGAAGCACCGGCUAACUACGUG
rnacentral:rRNA from 1 species